AUUGAACGCUGGCGGCAUGCUUUACACAUGCAAGUCGAACUGUAACAGGGUGCUUGCACCGCUGACGAGUGGCGAACGGGUGAGUAAUGCGUCGGAACGUGCCGAGUAGUGGGGGAUAACGCAGCGAAAGUUGUGCUAAUACCGCAUACGUACUGAGGUAGAAAGUGGGGGACCUUCGGGCCUCACGCUAUUCGAGCGGCCGACGUCUGAUUAGCUAGUAGGUGAGGUAAAGGCUCACCUAGGCGACGAUCAGUAGCGGUCUGAGAGGAUGAUCCGCCACACUGGGACUGAGACACGGCCCAGACUCCUACGGGAGGCAGCAGUGGGGAAUUUUGGACAAUGGGCGAAAGCCUGAUCCAGCCAUGCCGCGUGUCUGAAGAAGGCCUUCGGGUUGUAAAGGACUUUUGUCAGGGAGGAAAUCCCUAGUGCUAAUAACACUGGGGGAUGACAGUACCUGAAGAAUAAGCACCGGCUAACUACGUGCCAGCAGCCGCCGUAA
rnacentral:rRNA from 1 species